rnacentral:rRNA from 1 species
UACGGAGGGUGCAAGCGUUGCUCGGAAUUAUUGGGCGUAAAGGGCAGGUAGGUGGUCCGAUUUGUCUGGGGUGAAAUCCCAGGGCUUAACCCUGGAAGUGCCCCAGAAACGGUCGGACUCGAGUGCUGGAGAGGGUCGUGGAAUUCCCGGUGUAGCGGUGAAAUGCGUAGAUAUCAAGAGGAACACCAGUGGCGAAGGCGAGUCCCUGGACGAUACCUGACACUGAGGCACGAAAGCCGGGGGAGCAAACAGG